rnacentral:tRNA from 1 species
GCCUGGCUAGCUCAGUUGGUAAAGCAUGAGACUCUUAAUCUCAGGGUCAUUGGUUCAAGCCCCACAUUGGGUG